UACGUAGGGUGCGAGCGUUGUCCGGAAUUAUUGGGCGUAAAGGGCUCGUAGGCGGUUUGUCGCGUCGGGAGUGAAAACACCGGGCUUAACUCGGUGCUUGCUUUCGAUACGGGCAGACUAGAGGCAUGCAGGGGAGAACGGAAUUCCUGGUGUAGCGGUGAAAUGCGCAGAUAUCAGGAGGAACACCGGUGGCGAAGGCGGUUCUCUGGGCAUGUCCUGACGCUGAGGCGCGACAGCGUGGGGAGCAAACAGG
rnacentral:rRNA from 1 species